CAUCCCAUAAGAGCACUCAGUUUCAUAACAAGAAACCGAGGGUUCUUCAUGUCUGGUUCAGACAUGAAAUUAACCAAAACAUUGGUCCAACUCAUGCAUUUGCCACAACAAAGAAGGCAGAUGUUGUAAAUUCUCCUCAGCAUCAACUCCACAUGCCAUCGUCCCUAUUCUUCAUCUCAUCACUUGGCAUAUAUAAUCUCUGGUUGUACUGUGGCUUUUUGGGGCAGGGAGACAGAGUGAACUAUAAAGGGUUUUAUACAAGCUGAGGAGUGGAGUUAAACUGGAAGGCAGUCUGCAUGUUUGUAUGGAAACAAUUCUUUCAUGAGUUGCAAUUCUGUUUGAUUCCAGAUGUAAAAAGCCACAGGGAGAGAAAGAUGCAUAUCAGUCUUGACACCUAAAUCCAGGAUGAUGCUGCACUUGAAGUGCUAUCCUAACCUCACCGAAAAGACUACAUUUAGCAAAAGUAUUCUCUGUGCAUUUCUUUUCCUAAGCAAUAAUGAUUCUGAACAAGCAGGAUAGAAAUUCUUCCAGUUAUAUUAAAGGAUCCACAUACUUUUUUGGGGAAGAAAAGUGAGUUAGGUAACUUUAAACUUUGCAUAUUUGUUGGUGUAAGACAGGCUGGUCUGAGUAUUUCAGAAACUGUUGAUCUGCUAGGAUUUUCCCACACAACCAUCUCUGGGGAUUAAAAAGAGGAACAUAUGCAGUGAGCAGCAGUCCUUUGAGUAAAAAUGCCUUGUUGAUGUCAGAGGAGAAUGGCGAGACUGCUUCAAGAUAAUAGGAAAGCAGAAAUAACUCAAAUAACCACUCAUAUCAACCAAGGUGUGUAGAAAGACAUCUCUGAAUAACACAUUGAAUCCUGUAGCAGAUGGUCUACAACAGCAGAAGACUACAUCAGGUCCCACUCCUGUCAACUAAGACAGCACAGGCUCACCAAAAUUGGAAAUUAGAAGACUGGAAAAACAAUAUGAGCAACAUUCAGAAGGGAAGCACGUUUUCUUUCUGGCUGCUUCUCUGUGGUCUGACCAGGAACUAACUCAUCCUUAUUCUAGAAAGUGAACCACAACAUGUGGCAACAGAGCCCACAAACAUGAGCUCAUUCCUCUUGAGGGGAAACUAGCAACUGAAAAAACAGAGAUAGAAAGAGAGAAAGUCCCAGUGUUCCUCUCCACAUCCAUUUGUCUUUGGACUACAUUCCUGCUCCUCUUCCUCAAAUGAAAUGGUUAUCCCUGCAAACAAUGAGAAGACUGAGCUGCAGGAGCAUCUGCAGCAUGUGAAGUGGGACAUGAAACAAAAAUUGGCUCACAAGGUCGAGGUCAACUUCAGCAUCAGCACAUUCUUUGAGCCAAGGCGUUGGAGAGAAAGCAGGCGCGAACUGAAAAUGGCCCUAGUCUCUUCCUAACAUGCUUUUAUUUCCCACAUACUUCGUGAUCAGCAGGCCUCAGUAUGUUAUCAGGUAAUACUGAGACAAACAGCUGCUUACGUGCUGAAAUGUGGAUGUAUUAUUUGAGAAAAGCAUUACACAUGAAUCAGAAGAACAAUACAUUUUGACCAAUAGGCUAACAAUUAAAGUAAACUCAUCAGUAUUAAAAAUACAGCUGGAAAGGUGAACUGUUCCUACUUUAAGAGCAAGUGCAAGUGCAGGCAGAUAUGUUGCAAAAUGUAUUUACCAUCAUAAUUAAAUACAAAAAAGAAUGUGCAGAAAAAUCUGAACUCUAAACUCACACCUAUGAUAUUAAUUUAAAAAUCAUAGUUGACCUUUUCGAGUUAUUGUAACAAAAAAAGGAAAAAAGUCUUUUCUGUGGCUAAGUCCUCAAUUUUCCUUUAUUCCUUGUAAUGUUGUCAGUCUCCAUAUGAGUCACGUUGACCACGUGCUGUGUGCUUCAUGCUUUGCUCUGGAAUGUCAGGUUUCAAAUAGCAUGUACCCGAUAUUGCCUUGCCAUGCCAUGCCAGAGAUAUAAGAUUGUGUGUAACUGUAAAAUCAAAUGACUAUUAUUUAUUUGCAAUAAAAUAACAUAAAACACACACCAAAGUACACACAGGACUUUUUAUUAGUAAGUUACAAUGCGGACACAUGCACUGCCAAGGACAUUUAAAAAAAAAUAAUACUAUGACAUUUCAUCAUGUUUCAGUUAAACAAGUUAAGAAUCAAGCAGUUAAGUAAGAAAAGAUUUUUUCUGUUUAUAACAAUUAGAACAUGUAUGAUUGAACACAGAAGAAACAUGCACUUUACUGCACUGCAACAUAGAAAAUUAUCCUAAG